UACGUAGAGUGCAAGCGUUAAUCGGAAUUACUGGGCGUAAAGCGUGCGCAGGCGGUUUUGUAAGUCUGUCGUGAAAUCCCCGGGCUCAACCUGGGAAUGGCGAUGGAGACUGCAAGGCUAGAGUUUGGCAGAGGGGGGUAGAAUUCCACGUGUAGCAGUGAAAUGCGUAGAUAUGUGGAGGAACACCGAUGGCGAAGGCAGCCCCCUGGGUCAAGACUGACGCUCAUGCACGAAAGCGUGGGGAGCAAACAGG
rnacentral:rRNA from 1 species